rnacentral:lncRNA from 1 species
AUCAGGGGAUCCCUGGCCAGAUGGUGGCAGAGUGAUAGUUCAUUUCAGAAAGAACCAGUGAAAUGAGAUGAGACCCGGGCUCAGGCUUCUGUCAGGCCAGGACUGUUGAUUGUCUUUGGGGCUCAUUGGUGGUCUCAUUGGUGGUCUCCUCUCCUCUUCAUAUAGGGCCUUUAACUGGUAAUGAAUGAGUUGCCUAAUGGGUCUCUGGCACCAACCCAGCGGCCAAGCGUUUCUCUCCCGCCUGCCACCGUCCGUCAGGCCGUGUGAAAAAUGUGGAGGAUCAGUGGUGGAGCAGAAGACUCAUACAGAGGAUGAGGGGGUGGAGAGAGGAUUCGGUUAUCACCACCACCAGAGAACGGGGGGAAUAAUACUACACUCUUCGGAUCAGAUCAGAACUCAAUGAAGCCCUGUAUUACGGUGUCCAUACUGGCUGACUUCAGACUGGAGGUCAACACGGCCCCACAUUAGAAACCAGACUCUCCAUGAUACUCAAUAACGCCUCCAGUAGAGAUGAUGAAAUGACAGAUAGUAUCUCUUCAAUUAUCACAGAGGCAUCAUCUUCCCAUCAGCAGAUCCAUAUUAGGACCAUUAUCUAUCUACACAGUCAGUGUCUCUGGAGCCCAAAUCUGCAAUUGCAGCUAAAACGCC